UAUGGUCUGAAUCAUCCCUCAAAAUUUUACGAUGUCACUAACACCCUGUAUAUCUGUAUUAAUUUCAUCGCCCAUUAUUUUUGAAGAAUGAAAUGAGAAGAAGAAGAAAUGAAGAGAAUGAAAUGAGUUUACAUGGUGAUGGCGUUUCUUGUGUUGGUGAGGAGUGACGAAGUAUACUGUCCUGUGGCUUACCGCACCAUCGGGCCGAUAUGUGGGACUGAUGGAUCGUUGUACACUACUUGGUGUGACUUGGAAAUGGCUCGGGUUUUCAACCACCAACUGGAUGUCGCUCACAUGGGACCGUGCAGGUCCGAUUGCAGUUACGAGUAUAUGCCAGUAUGUGGCAACGAUCUGGUAACAUACGACAACCUCUGCUUCUUCCAAGAGGAAGCCUCAAGACCACAAAGCUACGGGCUAAGAGUACUUCAUUUCGGACAGUGCAAUAAUUACAGAAUUGUACCGUAUAUAACAUAAUCUUCAACAAUUUCAACGACCGCAUUGUUCUGGACUGCUCAAAGUAAAACGAUUACGAUUUUCGAAAAGUAAUAAUGCAAUAAAUUGUUUUUGUGUCGUAAUUAUAAAUGAAAAACUGGUGUUAAAACAGUGAAGUGAUGAGUUUUUGUACAUAGAUAGAAUUUGCGUAAAGUGGGAGUUCACAUGACAUCAAACUACAAGUCACGCCUUAAAAGACAUGUGUAGUAAGUUAUUUAGGAAUUUUACUGAUUUAGUUGUUUUCA
rnacentral:misc_RNA from 1 species